GAUGAAGAACGUAGCGAAAUGCGAUACGUAAUGUGAAUUGCAGAAUUCAGUGAAUCAUCGAAUCUUUGAACGCACAUUGCGCCCUGUGGUAUUCCGCAGGGCAUGCCUGUUCGAGCGUCAUUUCAACCCUCAAGCCCCGCUUGGUGUUGGGCCCCGCCCGCUGUGGCCGGCCCUAAAGACAGUGGCGGCGCCGCCUGGCCCUCAGCGUAGUACAUCUCUCGCUCCAGGGUCCGGUGGCCGCCUGCCAGAACCCCCCAACUCUGUGGUUGACCUCGGAUCAGGUAGGGAUACCCGCUGAACUUAAGCAUAUCAAUAAGCGGAGGA
rnacentral:misc_RNA from 1 species